AACCAAGUGAUCUACCCUUGGUCAGGUUGAAGGUUGGGUAAAACCAACUGGAGGACCGCACCGGUAAGCGUUGAAAAGCUUUCGGAUGAACUGAGGGUAGGGGUGAAAGGCUAAUCAAACUUGGAGAUAGCUCGUACUCCCCGAAAUGCAUUUAGGUGCAGCCUGUGGAGUUUCUUACGUGAGGUAGAGCGACUGAUUGGAUGCGAGGCUUUCACCGGCUAUCAAGUCCAGACAAACUCCGAAUGCACGUUAAGUAAGAUCCACGGAGUGAGGGCAUGGGUGCUAAGGUCCAUGUCCGAGAGGAGAAGAAUCCAGACCAUCGGCUAAGGUCCCGAAAUAAUAGCUAAGUUGACCAAACGAAGUCAGAGUGCGAAGACAGCUAGGAUGUUGGCUUGGAAGCAGCCAUUCAUUUAAAGAGUGCGUAACAGCUCACUAGUCGAGUGCUUUGGCGUGGAUAAUAAUCGGGCAUAAGCUAUUUACCGAAGCUGUGGGAUGUGUAAACAUCGGUAGGGGAGCAUUCUAGCGACGCUGAAGGUGAGAGGACAACUCUUGCUGGAGUUUCUAGAAAAGCAAAUGUAGGUAUAAGUAACGAUAAAGGAGGUGAGAAACCUCCUCGCCGAAAGACUAAGGGUUCCUGAUCAACGCUAAUCGGAUCAGGGUUAGUCGGGGCCUAAGGGGAAGCCGAACGGCGCACCCGAUGGAAGAACCGGUUAAUAUUCCGG
rnacentral:rRNA from 1 species